rnacentral:rRNA from 1 species
GAAAGCGGCGAUAGCACGUUAAAUGCACCAGUUCCCCACGGAUCACUGAAGUUAAGCAACAUAGCGCGUAGUUAGUACCUGGAUGGGUGACCAUCUGGGGAAUCGCGUGCUGCUGGGU